AGUGAACGCUGGCGGUAGGCCUAACACAUGCAAGUCGAACGGCAGCACAGUAAGAGCUUGCUCUUACGGGUGGCGAGUGGCGGACGGGUGAGGAAUACAUCGGAAUCUACUUUUUCGUGGGGGAUAACGUAGGGAAACUUACGCUAAUACCGCAUACGGCCUACGGGUGAAAGCAGGGGAUCUUCGGACCUUGCGCGAUUGAAUGAGCCGAUGUCGGAUUAGCUAGUUGGCGGGGUAAAGGCCCACCAAGGCGACGAUCCGUAGCUGGUCUGAGAGGAUGAUCAGCCACACUGGAACUGAGACACGGUCCAGACUCCUACGGGAGGCAGCAGUGGGGAAUAUUGGACAAUGGGCGCAAGCCUGAUCCAGCCAUACCGCGUGGGCGAAGAAGGCCUUCGGGUUGUAAAGCCCUUUUGUUGGGAAAGAAAAGCAGCAGGUUAAUACCCCGCUGUUCUGACGGUACCCAAAGAAUAAGCACCGGCUAACUUCGUG
rnacentral:rRNA from 1 species